rnacentral:rRNA from 1 species
AAGUAAUAAUUUAUUAAUUAUUUAGUUAGAUUUUAUAAUUAAUAAAAGUAAUUUUUAUAGUUAAAUUUUAAGUAUAUUUUAUAGAAAAAAUAAUAUUUAUUGUAGUAAAUUAGUAUUGUGAAAGAAAUUUGAAAUAUUAUGAAAAUAAUUUUAUUUAAAAGAAAUAUUAAUUUUAUGUACCUUUUGUAUCAGGGUUUAUUAAAUAAGGUUUAUUUAUAAAUAAAUUUCUCGAAUUUAAAAGAUUUAAUAAAUUAUAAAAGUUAAUGUUGAAUAAUUAUUUUUAAUAAUUUAUUAGUAAUGAAAUGUUAUUCGUUUUUAAAUAUAUCUAGUUUUUUAAGAAAUGAAUUUAAUUCAUAUAUUUUUAAUAUAAAUGGUUAUUUUUGUAAUUAUUUAUUUAUUAAUAUAAAUAUAUUAAGGGAUAAGCUUUAAUUUAAGGUCUAUAAGUUUUAUUUAAAUUAAAUAUAAAUGUAAGGUUAGAAAUAUCUAUUAUUAAUAAGUUUGUUUUAAUUUAUAUUUUUAUUAUAUAAUUUAUUUCUUAUUUAGAUUUUUUAUUAAAAUGAGUAUUUUAAUAAAUAAAAUAUUGGAAUAAUGAUAGAAUUAGUAUAAAUAUUUGUUAAUUUUUAAAAAUUAAUAAAGAUUAAAUUAAGGAAUUCGGCAAAUUUAAUACUCACCUGUUUAACAAAAACAUGUCUUUUUGAUAAUAAUCUAAAGUCUAACCUGCCCACUGAGAAUUUUUGAAGGGCCGCGGUAUUUUGACUGUGCAAAGGUAGCAUAAUCAUUAGUCUUUUAAUUGAAGGCUUGUAUGAAUGGUUGGAUGAGGUAUUAACUGUCUCAAUUUAAUAAAUAAUAGAAUUUUAUUUUUAAGUUAAAAAGCUUAAAUAAUUUUAAAAGACGAGAAGACCCUAUAGAUCUUUAUAUUUAAUUUUUUAAUAAUUUUUUAGUUUAAAUUUAUUUUUAGAAAUUUAAGUAUUGAGUUGGGGUGAUUAAAAAAUUUAAUAAACUUUUUUUUUAUUUUAACAAUAAUUUUUGAAUAAUUGAUCCAUUUUUUGUGAUUAAAAGAUUAAGUUACCUUAGGGAUAACAGCGUAAUUUUUUUGGAGAGUUCUUAUCGAUAAAAAAGAUUGCGACCUCGAUGUUGAAUUAAAGGUUAAUUUUAGGUGUAGAAGUUUAAAAUUUUGGUCUGUUCGACCAUUAAAUCUUUACAUGAUUUGAGUUCAAACCGGCGUGAGCCAGGUUGGUUUCUAUCUUUAAUUUAAUAAAAUAUCUUAGUACGAAAGGACCAGAUAUUUAAAAUAAUUUUUAAAAAUUGAAUAAUAUUA